GCAUUGCUGAUGAGAUGUGUUUGGUGCAUGCCAGAAUUCCCACCAAGCCGCUUGCCUGCCUCUGAGUCGCUCAGCAGCCAGCCUCCCUCUUUGGCUAAAGUUCUCAAAGAAAAAGUAAAACAGAAAGAGACAUGAUUUGUGUUGAGUUCUAAACCACAAUAUAUAAAGAGGAACCUCCAAACAAAAUGAAGUGGGAAGGAUGAGUAAACAAGGACACUAAGAACGACACCUGUCUUUAGAGAUCUCAAGCCAGAGUGAGAUGUGAACCGCUGUGUUUUGUUUCCUACGGGACAAGAAACAUGUGUAAACUUGCUGCACGAACCACUCAGAAUCUGACUUGACUCUGCAAUGCCAGGCAACUGGGGUGACUGACAACGGAAUGUCCUCUAUGAAAAACCAGAUGCCUAUUGUGACCAGAUGGUGAAAAUAAGAUUAUAUUACCUUGUAACUCUCUCUUGCGUGCCUGCUUGUACACACACACACACACAUACCCCUCUCUCAUAUCUGUGUCAUGAAGUUUCACAUUAAUCCACUGGAAGCAGAACACUUCUCUAUUCUUAUGGACAGUAUUUGUCUUUUUAUAGCAAACAACUGAGAAAGUUUCUACAUAUGUUUUCAAGCUCCCUGCUUGCUACUGAAACUCUUCUAUUCUCAGCUCCCUUUUUACCAGUCCAUUCUCAACAGAAUCCAUUUAUAAUAUAUUGGGCAGAAAAGCUGUUCUAGUAAAGACAAGAGAGAGAGAGAGAGAGAGAGAGAGAGAGAGAGAGAGAGAGAGAGUAUUUGUACUAUCAUCCAUAAUGCAUAUAGCAACACAAAGUAAUAAAACUGUAUCAAAACAUGAGUAUGAGGGCUUGUGCUCAGAUCCCCAGCAUAUACACACAAAAUUAGGCAUGGUAGUGUGCAAAGGUGAUCAUCAUGUCAAUGAAGGUUGAGAGGAGUGUGGAUUCCUGGAGCUCAGUUGCCAACUAGACCAGACAAUUGGUGAGCAUCAGGUUCAGUGAG